UUUUUUUGCUGGGUGGGAGACUGAGUCUCGCUCUGUCACCUAGGCUGGAGUGCAGUGGCCUGAUCUCGGCUUAGUGCAACCUCUGCCUCCAGGGUUCCGACAAUUCUGCCUCAGUCUCCUGAGUAGCUGGGAUUACAGGUGUGUGCCACCACACCUGGUUAAUUUUUGUAUUUUUAGUAGAGACCAGGUUUCAUCAUGUAGGGCAGGAUGGUCUUGAACCCCUGACCUCAGGUGAUCUGCCCACCUCGGCCUCCCAAAGUGCUGGGAUUACAAGUGUGAGUCAUCGCUCCCGGCCUGCAAACUUUGUUGUAGGUAUUUCUGGUAAACAAAUCCUUAGGUUAUCUUUGCUGUGGUUUUGGUUUGGCUUUAGUCAUGAUUUAAAGGUAGAAAUAGCUAGGCAUUAUUUUUUGAAAUAUAUGACCUAGAUGUAGUCAAGAAUCCACUUGUCAACACAGGGAAGCAAACCUUUUGGAAAAUGGCAUUUGGGCAGACAGUAAACAUUCAGAAAAGAGGUAUGAUCGCUUGAUGCUGGAAGCAUGAACAGCUUCAUCAGGUACUCAACUCUGAUGAGUUUGUCCUUUCAGCCUAAGGGCGGGGAAGGGGGUUGUUUUAAAAUAGCAAAUACGCAUGUUGAUUGCCAGUGUGUGGAGAAAAAGGCGGUUCCCACCACAGUUAGGUCCUGGCCAUUGUUUCCGCGCCUGCAAUGCUCCUUGUAGGUCCUCACCCUCCUCUGCCUUCUGCUGGGUCAAAGGUGGCCUUUUUCUCUCCAGCCUUGAAUUGUUCCCUGGUGGCUUCCCAAGGGCCCAUCUGCUGGUACAGUCCACACUUCCAAAGCCAAGACCCGAGAGGGCUCUUUCACUGCCCCAAGCCUCUCUCCCACGCUGUCGUCGCCUUGGCAUGGGUGGCAUUGCUGUGACCCCGUGUGCUGGCACUCUGGCAGGCUCUGGCCGGCAGUGAGCGGGGGGAUUGCAUUCUGCUAUUCAGGGGUGAGCUUUGGAUUCUGUCUUGGCAGAAUCCUUUGUCAGCGGCUCUUGCUCUGUCCUUCCUGUUUGGCCACAGCUCUUUCAAUCAAUCAAUGGGUAUUCUAGAACUGCAGGAUGUCAGAGCUGGAAGGGACGCAAUACCAGUUUACAGAAGGGGAAACUCCUGGAGGCUCUUGCAGGGACGGAGGUUUUUGGUGACAGAGCGAGAGCUAGAGUUGAGGAUCCCAUCAGCCAUCUUUCUCCCAAUAAAGUUUUGUUUUCUGCAA
rnacentral:lncRNA from 1 species